rnacentral:rRNA from 1 species
GAUGAACGCUGGCGGCGUGCCCAAUACAUGCAAGUCGAGCGAACAGACGAGGAGCUUGCUCCUUUGACGUUAGCGGCGGACGGGUGAGUAACACGUGGGUAACCUACCUAUAAGACUGGGAUAACUUCGGGAAACCGGAGCUAAUACCGGAUAAUAUUUCGAACCGCAUGGUUCGAUAGUGAAAGAUGGCUCUGCUAUCACUUAUAGAUGGACCUGCGCCGUAUUAGCUAGUUGGUAAGGUAACGGCUUACCAAGGCAACGAUACGUAGCCGACCUGAGAGGGUGAUCGGCCACACUGGAACUGAGACACGGUCCAGACUCCUACGGGAGGCAGCAGUAGGGAAUCUUCCGCAAAGGGCGAAAGCCUGACGGAGCAACGCCGCGUGAGUGAUGAAGGUCUUCGGAUCGUAAAACUCUGUUAUUAGGGAAGAACAAACGUGUAAGUAACUGUGCACGUCUUGACGGUACCUAAUCAGAAAGCCACGGCUAACUACGUG